GUCCCCAUCUCUGCAUCCUUCGGACCAGCCUAGGUUAGUCCCAGAACUCCCCUCUUUUUUUUCUCUUGCUGUUCUUCUUCCAUUUUUCUUCCUUUACAUUCUACCUGUUCGAUUUUUCACGAAUGUCCCAUUUCUUAUUUUUCCCAAUUUUUUUGAGACUUUUAGGGUUUUCACUCGAUUCAAAAUAUCCUCCAGCACUUCCUCCU
rnacentral:lncRNA from 1 species